rnacentral:misc_RNA from 1 species
AACCUUAUGGACCUGCGGGCGUAUACCUGCGGAAGGAUCAUUACAUGAUUGAACAGAGAGCGGCGGCUUCGGCCAAAGCUCUGUCUGCACCCAUGUCUUUUGCGUACUUCUUGUUUCCUCGGUGGGCUUGCCCGCCGAUAGGACAACCUUAAACUCUUUGCAAUUGCAAUCAGCGUCUGAAAAACUAUAAUAGUUACAACUUUUAACAACGGAUCU